GCCCGGCUAGCUCAGUUGGUAGAGCAUGAGACCCUUAAUCUCAAGGUUGUGGGUUCAAGUCCCAUGUUGGGCU